rnacentral:rRNA from 1 species
CAGCAGCCGCGGUAAUACGAAGGGGGCUAGCGUUGCUCGGAAUGACUGGGCGUAAAGGGCGCGUAGGCGGUUUAUACAGUCAGAUGUGAAAUUCCUGGGCUCAACCUGGGGACUGCAUUUGAUACGUAUGGACUUGAGUGGAGAAGAGGGUUGUGGAAUUUCCAGUGUAGAGGUGAAAUUCGUAGAUAUUGGAAAGAACACCGGUGGCGAAGGCGGCAACCUGGUCUUUAACUGACGCUGAGGCGCGAAAGCGUGGGGAGCAAACAGGAUUAGAUACCCCGGUAGUCCCUGUCUCUUAUAC